GGAAAUUCCUGCAAAGGAAGAGGGGGGGGGACAGGACAAUGGAGGAAGCUCUCAGCGUAAACAGUGUCCUCCGUGCAGCUGCUCCUCCAGAUCUGUCUCCCAGUGUUCCCAUCAAGCACCUCUCUUCAGCCUGAAUAUGCAUCUUCAAUUCGCGUGUCUGCCAGGCUCCAUCAACUCCUGCUUAAAAGCAGCAAAAAUACACUUGAAGGCGCAUUUAAUAUGCCAUCAGCGUGCUUUGAUGUGUAAACACACUUAGCCUUUGUUGUGUCACUUAAAAUCAAAUAUGUGGCUCAUUUCUGGCCCUUGAGAAAAGUCCUUCCAUUACAGCUGUCAUGAUUCAGUGAUUUUGUGACCAAGAAGCAUUCACAGGAUGCAAAUUUGACUACCAUCUUUUUGAAGAAUAAACCACAUACAAAUAUUUUAAUUGUGCUCCAUCAUUUUGAUAAAUUCCACUUUUCCAUUGGGGUGUGUUUUAAAAAAUGCAUAUUGGCCCAAGUUGAGUCAAAACUAUGCUUACUAUUCAACAUUCCUUACAAGUUAGAUGAUGUUAAAUCUAUUUUGGCACCUCCUAACUUCCAGUGGAAUUCCCAGAUUUUGAAUGAAACCGUGCCAAACAGGACUUAUGAGGUCGAACCGCUGACCGCACACUCCCUUCCAAAACCCUUUUGCACAGCCCACAGAGGUCUCCACCCCAUCCAUUUUGAGCUCUCUCCGUCUCAGCUGCGCCAAGCUUUUAAUCUGCCUGGUGACAUCCCAGUGUUUCCUGCAUAGGACAGAGGGAGAGAUAAGCACACUCUUCUGGGUGGUAAAUCAAUCUGCACUCCCACUCCUGCACUGAUAUAUCUCCAUUAUUUAAUUAGACUGUGCUCAAAUUCACCAUAAUGGCUGGUAAUUAUAAUCGGAGACUUGGGAGUUAUUUUUAGGGAGUUCUUUCUUUCUUUCUUUCUUUCUAAAUGUUAUGGAUUUUUCUGAGGUAUCUGAUGAACUACAUUUAAAUCAAAACUGUAAAAAAAAAAUGAUCACAAAUGUUGAAUAAGUAAGGGUCCAUGUGUCAUUUAUCAUUUUCAUAUAAAAAAUGUUACAAUUAUAUGUUAAGCAGCAUGUUUCCUUCAUUUGCAGCACUUGGAGUAAUAACGGAGAAAUAUUAGUAGAAGCUAACCACUAGCUAUGGGAUGUUAACACUGCCGGGGUUCAAUCGGGCUCAUUUACCAACACUAACAUUACCAAAUUGCUUACUUUACCACUUUUGCUAUAUUACAGUUAGGCCUAAAAUUAUUUGAACCCCUGGCAAAUUUAGACUUUCCUGUAAUAUUUAAAUUCAGCAACCUAUUGUUUCUGAGUGGGAGUAAAUUUAACGUUUUGGAGCAGCCCAACCAGUAUCCUGAGAAUCUGUGGAGAGAAGUGUGUAUUGUUUCCUAACAGAAGCAAACUGCUUGGUUGAAAGAAAAUAAAUGUAAAGCUACGUGUACCAGGGGUAUGAAUAAUUUUGGGUUUAACUGUGUUUGUGACUUUGUUUGUGUCUAUGGAUGUGCUCCAGCACACCUGAUUGAAAUGUUUGCAUUACCUCACCUGCACACCAUCAAGUGCAACAGAAGCCUGCUAAUCACCCACUUAUUUAAACAGGGCUGUCCCAAGGUUGUAUAGAGCCCUAAGCACAAUCUGAUGUAGGGUCCCCCUUCCUGUUAAGAACAUCACCAC